UACGUAGGGUGCAAGCGUUAAUCGGAAUUACUGGGCGUAAAGCGUGCGUAGGUGGUUCGUUAAGUCUGAUGUGAAAGCCCUGGGCUCAACCUGGGAAUGGCAUUGGAAACUGGCGACCUAGAGUGCGGUAGAGGGUAGUGGAAUUCCCGGUGUAGCAGUGAAAUGCGUAGAGAUCGGGAGGAACAUCUGUGGCGAAGGCGACUGCCUGGACCAGCACUGACACUGAGGCACGAAAGCUAGGGGAGCAAACAGG
rnacentral:rRNA from 1 species